GACAGAGGUCCCGAGCGUUAGGCGGAAUCACUGGGCUUAAAGCGUGUGUAGGCGGCGGCCUAAGUACCUUGUGAAAUCCCACGGCUCACCCGUGGAACUGCUCGGUAUACUGGGUCGCUUGAGCCACUUAGGGGCUACCGGAACAAAUGGUGGAGCGGUGAAAUGCGUAGAUAUUGGGAAGAACACCGGUGGCGAAGGCGGCCAUCUGGACCGGCACUGACACUGAGGCGCGAAAGCUAGGGGAGCAAACGGG
rnacentral:rRNA from 1 species